CCUACGGGAGGCAGCAGUGGGGAAUAUUGCGCAAUGGGGGAAACCCUGACGCAGCAACGCCGCGUGAGUGAGGAAGGACUUCGGUCUGUAAAGCUCUGUUAAUGUGGAAAAAUGGUAGUUGGUCUAAUAGGCCGAUUAUUUGAUGGUACACAUAGAGGAAGCACCGGCUAACUUCGUGCCAGCAGCCGCGGUAAUACGAAGGGUGCAAGCGUUGUUCGGAUUUAUUGGGCGUAAAGCGCGCGUAGGCGGACCUGUAAGUCAGAUGUGAAAUCUCGGGGCUCAACCUCGAAACUGCGUCUGAAACUGCAGGUCUAGAAUCUCGGAGGGGGAAGGGGAAUUUCGCAUGUAGGGGUAAAAUCCGUAGAUAUGCGAAGGAACACCAGAGGCGAAGGCGCCUUCCUGGACGAGUAUUGACGCUGAGGCGCGAAAGCGUGGGGAUCAAACAGGAUUAGAUACCCUGGUAGUCCACGCUGUAAACUAUGAACACUAGGUAUUGGAGGAUUUGACCCCUUCAGUGCCGUAGCUAACGCGUUAAGUGUUCCGCCUGGGAAGUCGGUCGCAAGACUAAACUUAAAUUGAAUUGAGGCUUGNGNGNGCGAGCGACGACGAGGAGAGG
rnacentral:rRNA from 1 species